AUGGAGAGCCCUGGAAAGUGAACUCUCUCCUCUGCCAUCCUCUGCAUCUCCAACAAGGAAUGCUGGGUACUGAGCAUGGAGGACACGUGGGAUGGAAAGAGGUUCAGCCUCUAAGGUUCAGAGUAUGCCAGCAGAUAUCAGCAACACAUCAGAGAUGAUAGUCAGGAAGGCAUUUUUGAGGAAAAAGGUCUGCUGUUGAAGUAACUGAAGAAGUCUUGUCUCCUGCUCCUGACUGCAGCAAGUGGAAUUACCAGACCAACUCUUUUCUUCCCUUCUCCCUGAAGAAGACAGUGAGAGGCCAGCCAUGCAGCCAGUCAUUCCUUAUGAAGGAAAGGUGAAUGUGAAAGCUCAAGAAGCUUUGUUACCCUGCCAGUGUGUAAAAUAAAUGGGGACCUGAGAAGCAUUGAGCUGGAAGCAAUAAUCAGCCUCAGUGAUAACAUCCCACUCCCUGGACAGGCAGCAUCAAGAGCAUCUGUGGAAAUGAGUUGAUGUUCUAUAGUCCAUUACAGUUUUAGAGGGCUUUUGGCUGUGUUGGCUCUGUGGAUGAAGAGGCAGCCUGUGAUCCACCUAGCCGUGGUUCUGAAGGUCAGGAGUGAAGUCUCAUGUUGCCAUCAAUGUGUGAUCCAUCAAUCUGUGAUCCAGUGGAGGAUCCUUUUGCUGUCAGGACCACUCUACAGACCCAUCCUGGUCACUCUGAGUUGGGCUCAUCAGAUGCCCUUCAUACUGAUUACAAAGCACAGAUUUCUCCAGCCAGGUGAGGGAAAACAAUAUCAGAUGGAAAGCUUGUGAGCGGGCAGAGAUGAGAAGAGACGCCGGGGAGAGAGGCACCCACGUGUGUGUUUAUCCAUUUAUGAAAAUGGGGAAUCCAGAGGCAAACAGGCUCAGCAGUCCCUCGGUGCAGUGCUCUGUGUCUGGCUGCCUUUCUCUGGUCCACAUGUCUCUGUGGAAAAAAGACUGACUUUGACAGGAAACGUGUUCUUGGCCCUUCCCAGAGAAGACAUGGCAAACUGCAAGAAUAGAUGGGAGCUGUAGACAGGUUGAACCACGGUGCAAGGUGGCUCCAAAGCCCUUCAAAGAUGUUACAAGUGUUUCCCAGAUGAUGUCUAGAUGCACUUGGCAGAUGUUGGACUGCUUCACCUGCUCCUCAUGAAGCUUAGCUGUUUGGAGGCUGGGAAGGGACAGUGAUGGAAAAAUGGUGAGAAUGAGUUUACUUUUCUUACAUUCUUCCUGCUGCUUGGUGAUCUUCUUGUCUAUUUUUUUUUUCUUUUCUGAGAAGGCUGCCAAAUUUCCCCCCCCGUAGUUCACAUCUCCCCUCAUAACUACCUGAGAUAAAUUUAGCCAGGAAACCAAAUCGAUGGGGUUGCUUUCUGGGGGAAAGCAACCCAUCUGCAGGCUUUGAUCUUCGCUGUGGUGUUUGGAAUGUGCAAGGAGACAGAAAAAGGAGAAGUGGGCAAAUAUUGGAACACCUUCUGUGACAGGUCCCUUUAGCAAGCACUUCACCCAAGAGCCCUUUGGAGAGCUUUCAGCUGCAUUGUCUCAGGAGUGGCUCUGCAAGGGGGAGAUGAAGACAGCAAAGACAGGACUAAAAUUGUGACUGCCCUCCACAAUUCUGAACAAGCUCUUGUACAAGGUUGUGACCCUUGUACUCAAAAAAAGGGUUUUUCAGACAAAUUUUUCUUGUUAAGAAAGCAGAAGGAGUCCUUCCAAAAGCACACGGGCAGCUCUGCUGCUCUUAAAGUCAAAAGCACAGUUGAAUGCUUCAGUGUGUUAGGACCUUGGAGUAGAUUUGAGACCAUGUGCUCUGCACCUGCCCUCACAAAAUGAUUCA